rnacentral:rRNA from 1 species
UACGGAGGGUGCAAGCGUUGUUCGGAAUUAUUGGGCGUAAAGGGCAAGUAGGUUGCCUUAUAAGUCUACUGUGAAAUCCCUGGGCUUAACCCAGGAAGUGCGGUGGAUAGUGUAGGACUAGAGUAUCGGAGGGGUACGUGGAAUUCCCGGUGUAGCGGUGAAAUGCGCAGAUAUCGGGAGGAACACCAAUGGCGAAGGCAGCUCGCUGGGACGUUACUGACGCUGAGACGCGAAAGCGUGGGGAGCAAACAGG